rnacentral:rRNA from 1 species
AUUGAACGCUGGCGGCAGGCCUAACACAUGCAAGUCGAACGAGUGGCGGACGGGUGAGUAAUGUCUGGGACACUGCCUGAUGGAGGGGGAUAACUACUGGAAACGGUAGCUAAUACCGCAUACCAUCAGAUGUGCCCAGAUGGGAUUAGCUAGUAGGUGGGGUAAGGGAUCACCUAGGAGACGACCCCUAGCUGGUCUGAGAGGAUGACCAGCCACACUGGAACUGAGACACGGUCCAGACUCCUACGGGAGGCAGCAGGGGGGAAUAGUGCACAAUGGGCGCAAGCCUGAUACAGCCAUGCCGCGGGUGUGAAGAAGGCCUUCGGGUUGUAAAGCACUUUCAGCGGGGAGGCGUUACCCGCAGAAGAAGCACCGGCUAACUCCGUGCCAGCCGCCGCGGUAAUAC